GGCGAACAUGCCGUUCACCCUUCUCUCUCCUCCACCUUUCCCUUCACUUCUCCACCAUACCCUACCACCCCUUCAAUUCAAACCCUUCAUUUCCCUUCACCAUCUACGCCUCAAGCACCCCACCACCCUCACCACCGUUUCUGCCAUCGGUGCUGACGGUAAGUACUACCCCACACCCUCAGACGAUGACCCACCUGAAGCACCCGAAGAUUCAAUGCAUGGUGUGAACAAAUUUCAGCAAAUUCAACGGCAAGCAGCUAAAGCAAGAAAACAGCAAGAAGAGCUUUUCAAGAAAGAACAGUCCAUUUUCGUGAAUGCAUUAGCUGAUGUUGAAGAUGCACCUGAUAAUCCUCUUGUGAAUGAUAGUGAUAGUGGGGAUGAUUUAUUUGGUGA
rnacentral:misc_RNA from 1 species